CAUUGCCGUAUCCCUUGGGAACGCUUGGAUCGUGAUUAUUGCUUGUGUUUGACGUUUUUGCUGGUGCCAUUUUUCUCCUGAGCUCGGCUGGUUCAAUGCAGCAAACAUUGCACGCUUUGUUUCCUGCGGUGUUGUGCUAGUGCUAUGCUGUGCUGUACCGCAUAUAACCAUAGCAAGAAGCCUGUUGAAGAUGGUUAUGUAGUUUUUAUUAUACCAGAAAGAAAGCGUGACGGCUUGCGCAAGAAGCAGUGGCUGCACAACAUCGGCCAAAAGAACUUUGUUCUGACAAAGAACAGUGUUGUUUGCGAGCUGAUGCCUUCUGGUGGAGCUUUGUACGAGAACUACUGCUGCUUACCUGGUGCGACAACAUUGGACGAAUGCACAAGAAGCCCAGAGCGAGCAUCUAUAUAGCGCAAAAUAAACAUUUCCUCAUUUCACAA
rnacentral:lncRNA from 1 species